GCGGAAGUGGCGGAAUUGGCAUACGCGCCAGACUAAGGAUCUGGUGGGGUAAAACCCGUGGAGGUUCGAGUCCUCUCUUCCGCA
rnacentral:tRNA from 1 species